rnacentral:rRNA from 1 species
UACGUAGGUGGCAAGCGUUAUCCGGAAUUAUUGGGCGUAAAGCGCGCGCAGGUGGUUUCUUAAGUCUGAUGUGAAAGCCCACGGCUCAACCGUGGAGGGUCAUUGGAAACUGGGAGACUUGAGUGCAGAAGAGGAAAGUGGAAUUCCAUGGUGUAGCGGUGAAAUGCGUAGAGAUAUGGAGGAACACCAGUGGCGAAGGCGACUUUCUGGUCUGUAACUGACACUGAGGCGCGAAAGCGUGGGGAGCAAACA